rnacentral:lncRNA from 1 species
UGGGCGUGACUAUGGAUCCACACAGUGUGGGUGGGAAGGGGUCCACUGGCAGAAGGUCAGCAGAGGCUGAAGCCAGAACUGGUACGUGGACAUCCAAGCUUACAGAACCAGUCCUAAGGUGAGAAAACUACGGUUCUGAGAGGUGAAGUUGCUUGCCCAAGGGGACACAAUUUUAGGUGAGAUGGUCAGCUCCUUUAGGCUAUCUGCCCACUGGAGUCUACAUUUGUACCGACAAUUUUGCUUUGCUCCAGUUUCCCUGAGCUGACGCUCACCUUUAUAAUUUUUUAGGUGACUCUAUAUUCCUACCAACAGAGCAGAAGGCUUUUUGUCUUUGUGAACUCGGACUCCUGAGUGAGGGGACGUGUGAUGGAAGACAGACAGAAAGGCAAGAGCGAAUGUGCCCACCACUUUGCUUUAGUGGACUGUCGAAAGAGAAUGAUGGUCUUGACCACUCUACCCUCCCAGUGCACUUCCAGCACAGCAUGGACAGGGGUCCCCAGGUCCCAAGCAACUGCUAGAUUCUGCAGAGGGUACCAGUGGGGGCCCUCUAACCAAGAUAAAGUCAGCCCCACAGGGCUCAUAUACCAAGGCUGCCUCACCUCCAGGCACUUCUGAGGACCAGGCGGUUAUGUAGCUCAGGGUCAGCAUUCUGCUCAAGUCCACCAGUUCAUGGAGAUGGGCUAUAGUGGGGGGAAAGUCACAAAGAAGAGGAGAGAUGAGCAGAGUGAACUGUGGGAGAGGAGACAGAUGUUGCUACAUAUCCUCAGUACCUCCGUGACAUCUGCUGUCUGGAAACGCUCCCAUCCCUGGCCUUUCAGCUCACUGUGGCACAUGGCUGAUCAAGUCACAAGUCCACCUGACCUUCAGCAGUGUCCCCUCCCCAGAGGUAGGGGAGCAGGGGCUCGAGCUUCGGGAUUUUCAGAGACCAGAUCCAUCCUGCAGUUACCUCAGACCUGCCAGCCCAUGAGGAUUUGCUGGUUUGCUGAAGCUGUCAGACAGAUUCCAGCGAGCUCCUGGGCAGGAGAGACGCGGGAUGCAGAUACAGUCUAUUCCAGAGCCCAGUGAGGACCUCAGCAGCUCUAUCCACAGGACAAAAAGAGCUCUAGUUUUAACAAGGAUUCUAGGAGAGUUUGGAACUUCCAAGCCAGAAGCUUAACCUGCUCCACGGAAAGGCGCACGAGUGGCAGGGAGUCAGGAAAAGCUGCCUCAGUAAUGGCCUUGCUACAGAUGUUCUUUUCUCUGCUAAAUAAAAACCAACAAACACAGCAACACUCGGGGGAACAGCUUUAAAGAACCACACCAAGCCCUUCCUCUGUAAUCGGGACUCCGGGUGCUGCAGUUUUAGGUCAAAUCUGAAUCGGAUAACAUUAGAAGUAGCAGACAGGCCAUCUCAGUCUUUAUGGCUGCCUUGUCUGGCCUCAGUGGGAAAGGAUGCACCUAAUCAGAUUGAGACUUGAUGUGCCAGAGUGGGGAGAUAGGGGACGCCCUCUCAGAGGAAAAGGGGAGGAGGGAUAGGGAUAGGGACUCUGUGAGGGGGAGCAACCUUUGGGAUACAAAUUAAUUAAUUAAUUAAAAAAAUAGAAGUCACCAGUUUCUGUCAUCAUGGGGUAGGGGACAGGUAUGAUGACCCAAACAGAGACAGGCAGUGAGUAGGGACAACCUGGAGCCCAGGAGAACUCUUCUGCAGACAAUCACAUG